rnacentral:rRNA from 1 species
AUGAACGCUUGCGGCGUGCCUCAUACAUGCAAGUCGAGCGAACAGACGAGGAGCUUGCUCCUCUGACGUUAGCGGCGGACGGGUGAGUAACACGUGGAUAACCUACCUAUAAGACUGGGAUAACUUCGGGAAACCGGAGCUAAUACCGGAUAAUAUAUUUAACCGCAUGGUUCAAUAGUGAAAUACGGUUUUUCUGUCACUUAUAGAUGGAUCCGCGCCGCAUUAGCUAGUUGGUAAGGUAACGGCUUACCAAGGCAACGAUGCGUAGCCGACCUGAGAGGGUGAUCGGCCACACUGGAACUGAGACACGGUCCAGACUCCUACGGGAGGCAGCAGUAGGGAAUCUUCCGCAAUGGGCGAAAGCCUGACGGAGCAACGCCGCGUGAGUGAUGAAGGUCUUCGGAUCGUAAAACUCUGUUAUUAGGGAAGAACAAAUGUGUAAGUAACUAUGCACGUCUUGACGGUACCUAAUCAGAAAGCCACGGCUAACUACGUG